rnacentral:rRNA from 1 species
UACGGAGGGUGCAAACGUUGCUCGGAAUCCUUGGGCGUAAAGCGCACGUAGGUGGCCUGUUAAGUCGGGUGUGAAAUCCCUGGGCUCAACCCAGGAAGUGCACUCGAAACUGGCAGGCUUGAGUACUGAAGAGGGUCGCGGAAUUCCCGGUGUAGAGGUGAAAUUCGUAGAUAUCGGGAGGAACACCAGUGGCGAAGGCGAUCAUCUGGGGUUGUUCUGACACUGAGGAGCGAAAGCUAGGGGAGCAAACGGG